GAUGAACGCUAGCUACAGGCUUAACACAUGCAAGUCGAGGGGCAGCAUUAUCGAAGCUUGCUUUGAUAGAUGGCGACCGGCGCACGGGUGAGUAACGCGUAUCCAACCUUCCCCAUAGUCAGGAAUAGCCCGGCGAAAGUCGAAUUAAUGCCUGAUGUUUUCCACGGACGGCAUCCGAUGUGGAACAAAGAUUGAUCGCUAUGGGAUGGGGAUGCGUCCGAUUAGCUAGUUGGCGGGGUAACGGCCCACCAAGGCGACGAUCGGUAGGGGUUCUGAGAGGAAGGUCCCCCACAUUGGAACUGAGACACGGUCCAAACUCCUACGGGAGGCAGCAGUGAGGAAUAUUGGUCAAUGGACGCAAGUCUGAACCAGCCAAGUAGCGUGCAGGAUGACGGCCCUAUGGGUUGUAAACUGCUUUUAUGCGGGGAUAAAGUAUGGGACGUGUCCCAUUUUGCAGGUACCGCAUGAAUAAGGACCGGCUAAUUCCGUGCCAGCAGCCG
rnacentral:rRNA from 1 species